GAGACAUCUGUACCUCUGCCAUAAGGGAAGCACUGCAAGGGGUAAAAGAGGCCAUAACAGUGGGUCACUCAAGGUACAGGAAGCCUCUCUCGUUAAAAGUUGGCAGCAAGUUCAGGUUCAUCACUUCUUGGGCACCUGACGAUUCAGGAUAUUUCAAUAGUACCAGAGGCAGCAUUUUUGAACACAUGUUUGUUUUCAUUUAGCAAUCUUUCUGUUCACACUGGAGAUUAUUUAUGAGAAGGGUCCCUACAAGUCUUUGGAUUGCUGAUUUACUGCUGAGCAAGGAGGCAGCUGCCACUAUACUGCUACAAAGAGGAAUAGAUUCUGAUGACCCCUUGAUGUCUAUAAGGUUCCUG